GAUGAAGAACGCAGCGAAAUGCGAUAAGUAAUGUGAAUUGCAGAAUUUAGUGAAUCAUCGAGUCUUUGAACGCACAUUGCGCCCCCUGGUAUUCCGGGGGGCAUGCCUGUCCGAGCGUCAUUGCUGCCCUCAAGCACGGCUUGUGUGUUGGGCCUCCGUCCUCCUCCCGGGGGACGGGCCCGAAAGGCAGCGGCGGCACCGCGUCCGGUCCUCGAGCGUAUGGGGCUUCGUCACCCGCUCUUGUAGGCCCGGCCGGCGCUUGCCGACACAUCAAUCUUUUUUCCAGGUUGACCUCGGAUCAGGUAGGGAUACCCGCUGAACUUAAGCAUAUCAAUAAGCGGAGGA
rnacentral:misc_RNA from 1 species